rnacentral:miRNA from 2 species
AGUGCAAGUAUGACAGUUUGCAUG